rnacentral:rRNA from 1 species
UACGUAGGGUGCGAGCGUUGUUCGGAAUUACUGGGCGUAAAGCGCACGUAGGCGGACAUUUAAGUCAGGGGUGAAAUCCCGGAGCUCAACUCCGGAACUGCCUUUGAUACUGGGUGUCUUGAGUAUGGAAGAGGUUAGUGGAAUUGCGAGUGUAGAGGUGAAAUUCGUAGAUAUUCGCAGGAACACCAGUGGCGAAGGCGGCUAACUGGUCCAUAACUGACACUGAGGUGCGAAAGCGUGGGGAGCAAACAGG